GAGAUAGCUGGGGGCAAGAUGGUGUAGGACCUUGUGGGUCUUGGUGAGGGCUUUGGAUUUUGUUCUUUAUGUAGUUGGAGGACAAUAUACUUUCUAUUGAUGCCCAAUGCUCUGCUACUUCUUCUAGUCCUUUCUCUGUUCUGGCUCUAUCUGCCUCCCACCCAGCCAGGGGGGGAGGAUCACAGUAAAAAUGCUACCUUACCCUCCUGAUGAUCUCUCUUGCCAGUCUCCAUCCUUGAACAACUUUCACCGUUCAUUUCUUUUCUCUGGUGGCAGAACAAAAGAUAGACUAUGAGCCCAAUGCCAUGUUCCACCACAAAUUCAUGGUCUCCAGCCUCCUUUGAGCCUGAGUACAUAGCCAAUUGUUUUCACUUUGUAUUAAUUUCCUAUUGCAUUCAUCACAACAGGCUCAGCCCUCUUCCCCUCUCAGCCCUCCCCUCAGUCACCACAUAUUAGCUGAUGGCCUCGCCUCCUGCUUUAACAAAAACUGAAUUCACUGAAGUUCCCUUAACUGAGCGUGUAGCGACCUUUGUCUGCCCUACAAACCCACUCCACCACCUGUUAACCGCGCUUUGUGAGUGACCCAAGCAGAACCCUGGGAAUCAUCCCUCAUCAUCUCUGAUCCCUUCCAUGCUUGUAUUCAACUAGAGCCUUCACGCUAUAGAUUCUACCGCCUAAAUAUAUCUCAGUGCCAGCCCCUCUCUUCCAUCCCCACUUCUGCCUCAGAUCAGUCCCGCACCAUUUCUUGUCUAGACUAUUACACUAUUCCCUGACCCUAGCCCACUGAACACACACACACACACACACACACACACACACACACACACACACAAUUGCCAAUGAAUAUAACUGCUUGUAUCUCCUAAGUAUCUUCAGAAUAAAAUUAAACUUCCUUGAUAAGGAAUAGCAAGUUCUUUAUAAUCUGGUCUCUCUCUACCUCUCCGGGGAAAAGUUUCUCAACUUCUUUCCUCUUCUACUACCUCAUCUGCAAAAUGGGGAUAUUAACAGAGUAACCUCAUGGUAUUGUUAAGGAGUCAAUGUUUGUCUCUCCCCAAAAUUCCUAUAUUAAAACCCUAACCUUCAAAAUGAUGAUUUGGAGAUGGGCCCUUUGGGAGGUGGUUAAGGUUAUAUUAGGUCAUGUGAAGGUGGGACUCUAAUGCUGGAAUUACUCACUUUAUAAAAAAGAUAUCUCCCCUCUGUCCUCCCCGCCCCCCCAAUCAUGGGAACACACUGAGAAAAGACCAAGUGAGGAGGACACAGUGAGAAGCUGGCCAUCUGCAAGCCAGAAAGAGAACUCUCCCAGGAGCUGAGUCAGCUAGCAUCUUGAUCUUGAACUUCUCAGCCUCCAGAACUGUGAGAAAUAAAAGUCUGUUGUUUAAACCACCCAGUCUAUGAUUGGUAUUGUGGCAGUACAAACAGACUAAAGAUUAAUGGGAAACAACACAUGUAACUUCCUCUGAAAAAAGCUUGACCAUGGUAAGUGCACAGGAGAGUUACUAUGAUUAGCAUCGAUUUUCAACCUGUAAUCACCCCCUUCCCACCAUUUUAAAGUCCCAAAGACUACUGGAGUUUCUGACUAGUCUGCUGUCUUACUCUAUCAGAUUAUGCAUUCUGUCUGGAAACUAUCUGUGUUUUUAGGACUCAGCACCCUAGGGCCAGGCUAAAUAUCUGUGUCAGACAGAAACAAUGUAUUAUGUUCAUGCCCUGGUGUGAUCCUUUUCCUUCAGUAUGGGGAGAACCUGUGACUUGCUUAAAGAGAGAACGUGGUUAUUUUGUACUCAAUUAUGUUAUACACAGUUGUAGUUCCUAUCUUGCUGCAGUCUCUCUCUUCCCUGCUAACUUCGAAGAAGCAAGCUGCAAAGAUGGAGAGUGCAUCAUGGCAAGAAAUUAGGGGACAGCCUCCAGCAUCACCUGGAAAGAAGCUGGGACCAGUUUUGCAGGAGUCUACAAAGAACCGUUUCCAAAAACCAUGCGGACUUGAAAGAGGAUUUUCUCACUGUCAAACUUCAGGGACAGACAAACUAAUCAAUGGAACAGAAUAUAGAACUCUUCAGGCAGACUCCCUAAUAUAUGGAAAUCUAAUGACAGAGAUGAUACCACAGAGCCAUGAGGAAGGACUGGAUCUUACAAUUAACGGUGCUGGGAGAGUCUGGGAGAGUCAUUCGUAUGGGUAAAAAAAGACCUUGAGUUUUAUAUCAUACCAUUAUACAAAAAUCAAUUCCAGGAGAUGACAUUAAGAUCAUUUGAGGAAAGUGGGACAAGAAAAGACUUGACGUGAUCUAUCUAAUAAGUAAUUUCAAAAUAAAGAAGUAGAUAGCCUUUUUAAAGUUUGAAGCAACGCAAAGCAGGAGAAGUCAGCAUAGGAUGAUAAAAAUCCAAAUGAAAAGUUUAAAGUUGGAUACAAGAGAUUAUGUAUUGUCUACCCUAAGUACUGUGAAAGAGAAUGACCUGAAUAGCAAGGGAAAUCUCUUCCACCACAUGAGGUUGCAGCAAGAAGACGAACAUAUUUGGGCCAGGAAGAGGGCUCCCAUAAAUCUGCUGGUGCCUUGAUCUUGGACUUCCAGCCUCGAAAACUGACCCAUGAUGUGGAAAUCUCUGUUCAAGAUGUGAGGUACGGCAGUAAACAGAAGACACGUUAAGUCUGUCUUGGUGGGACAAAUGUGCUGGUGGGAAAGACAAGCAUCAAGCAAAUAAUCAUAAGGUACUAUUUAAGUCCAUAGACAGAAUGGAUAAAAGAUGACUUACUUUUGCUGGGAAGCAGAGGUGCCAAAUUCAAGUCUGAAGACAGCUCUACGUCUCCACCACAGCAUCCUGCCCACCCGUCCAGUCACUCCUGGGGAGCCCAGAGCGCCAUUCUUGACACUUGCCAGGUAAGGGAGUUCCCCUGCUAACGCUGUACCAACAUACAACACUUCCGUUUCGGUCCUACUUGUAUAAGUAUUCGUUUCAAGUGUUUACUUGAAGGGACCCUUCAUCGCUUUGUGAAAUGUUAAAGAGGAAGAUGGAAUUGAACAUCUACCUUUUGCCAAGACAGCAUGGCCUUCUACCUGUGGGAAGAAUGUAAUGAUGAGGUAUGAUAAUGAGUGGUGACCCGACGCCAGGACUGCCUUGUCCUUAACACACUACAAACGGCACAGAACUAAUGGUCCAAAUAGCUGCACACAAAUCUUGUCACCAGGUACAUAGUUCAUUAAGUGAGACUUCUUGGGUAAGAUCACAAUCAGGGGCUGCCUGGCAAACAAACCUCAGCUCCGGCAAAAUAAAAUUAGAAAGAGUGGUCCACAUCCAGUGGAAAAGAGCCUCUGCACACCAACCGGAGGGGACCUAUCCCAGUUCUGUGCUUACGCUUCUGAGCUUAACUGGCCGUUGAUAAUGUAUUUAAAGGCCAAAGGGCAUGCGACUCAGUCUCCUCUUACAGCAAAAGACAACUUCGAAUUUAGAUAACUCUUCAUCCUUUACAAAGUAUGAUGGCAUACCUGGUAUGCUUAGAAUUACUAUACUAGAAAUGUAGUACAAGAGUUCUCGUCAUGGCGCAGUGGUUAACAAAUCUGACUAGGAACUGUGAGGUUGCGGGUUCGAUCCCUAGCCUCACUCAGUGGGUUGGGGAUCCGGCGUUGCCAUGAGCUGUGGUGUAGGUUGCAGAUGUGGCUCAGAUCCCGCGUUGCUGUGGCUCUGGUGUAGGCUGGCAGCUACAGCUUCGAUUAGACCCCU
ensembl:lncRNA